AACGAACGCUGGCGGCAUGCCUAACACAUGCAAGUCGAACGAGACCUUCGGGUCUAGUGGCGCACGGGUGCGUAACGCGUGGGAACCUGCCCUUAGGUUCGGAAGAACUCCCCGAAAGGGGUGCUAAUACCGGAUAAUGUCUUCGGACCAAAGAUUUAUCGCCUUUGGAUGGGCCCGCGUUGGAUUAGCUAGUUGGUAGGGUAAAAGCCUACCAAGGCGACGAUCCAUAGCUGGUCUGAGAGGAUGAUCAGCCACACUGGGACUGAGACACGGCCCAGACUCCUACGGGAGGCAGCAGUGGGGAAUAUUGGACAAUGGGCGAAGGCCUGAUCCAGCAAUGCCGCGUGAGUGAUGAAGGCCUUAGGGUUGUAAAGCUCUUUUACCCGGGAUGAUAAUGACAGUACCGGGAGAAUAAGCUCCGGCUAACUCCGUG
rnacentral:rRNA from 1 species